AAGGAGAAGAAAAAAAGGGAGAUGGCGAACGAGGAGAAAGCAAGAGAGAAUAAGAAAAACUGAGAGAAAAGGGGGUGAUUCGCUGCACAUCAGGAGAAGAAAGGAGAGUAGAACUAGAAGACGAUUUUGUUCCUUUAAGCUCUAUUUCUCUGCAAGGUUUGAAGGUGGAUCUGAUCAUCACCAACUACUGUAUGCCUGGAAUGACAAGAUAUGAGUUGUUGAAGAAAAUCAAGGGAUCGUUUGCCUUGAGAGAGAUUCCGAUGUUAAUCAUGUCAUUUGAGAGUAAUCAUGUCAUCUGAGACCGUAGUGGCUCGAAUUGACAGAUGCUUGGGAGGAGGAGCAGAGGAAUCUAUUGUAAAGCCAGUGAAGUUGGAUUAGGUCUUGACCGUCCGUUAUGUACCCUGUCUCAUUGUGCAAAUAUUCAUAAUUUCUCGGGGA